rnacentral:tRNA from 1 species
GUUAUCGUACUUUAAUAUAAAAGAUCUGGUUUGCAUUUAGAAAAUGAAUUUUUAUUCCGAUGACU